CCCAAUACCACCACCAAAACCCCAAGACAAACACACCACAAUUACAAAAACCCCAUGCCACACCCUGGCCUGACCAAAUACAUAAAGAUGAACACAAAAUACUUUGACCAGGGUGUGACACGUAUCCUGAAAAUGACAUCUGCUGCUUUAGAUUGAACGGUCAUAUCUCAGUUAUUGUUUUCAUAUCUACAAAAAAUUAUCUGUUUUCUUUACUUUCAGAGUGCGAGUUGAUCAAGGGGUCGAAAAUGUAGAUAUUGCCAGAUGUAUGUUCACUGUCCUGUCUCACAUGCAUUAAUUAAAAAACCCUUAAGAUGUGAGCUGCUAAUUUAAGAUUUGCACCACAUAAACACUUAGCCAUUUUCAAUGGACUGUCAAACCCCUGUUGCUGACAAAUGUAUCAUCACUAAUACAGAUUUGUUUAUUUUGAGAGUUCCAGAUUCAGCAGGUGGAGGACCUGCUUUAUCAGGAGGAUAAUCUGGAAACACUGACAAUGGGGUCAUUGUUCCUGACAUCCCAUGCCCCCGCCUUUUUAGAUGCAGUCCUCCCACACUAUGUAGGAUAUUGUUUUAGCCCCAGUGCCACUCUUGAUAAUGGUAAACAUUAGUAUUUUUUGGAGGAGGGUGAAAGGAUAGCAAGACCAGCUGUCCAAGUGAGAGAGUAGGCUAUUCUGGAUAGAGCAGGAACAUUUGUGUAGUCUAUUUAUCGUGAGGUUUUCUGUCCUCAGAUAAGAGAGCUAUGAAAGCCUGUCUGCAGAGGAAGAGGUCCCAAUGAAGAGCAGUGGUUCUCAGUCCUGGCCCUGGGGACUUAAAGGGGUUAUAACGGCUUUCUUCUGUGGAUGAAGGAGAGGACCAAAGCGCAGCGUGGUAUGUUUUGAAGUAAGAGAGGAAGCCAGUCCCGUCAUCACCACCUUACCCGUUCUUCAGAUAACCUUCAGGCCGACUGGGAGCCCAAGGCUGGUUAGGAGACACCGCUAGAGCCACUGUAAUUGUGAUGAACUGAGAGAAUAUUAGGGGAGCACUGUGAUUCAUUAAUCAUAUGCUCCUCUGUUUUACCUCUUUCCUUUUCUGUCUUCUACACCUCUCUCCCC
ensembl:lncRNA